CACUGGCACAGGUGGGAGCUAGCCGCCAGGAUCCCGUCUCCCGCCCGGCGGGCACCAGCCGGCCGGCUGCGGCUGGGGCGCGCGGCGCGCCGCUUGAGGUGGCCGCGAACCACGUAGGAUACUCUUGGUACGUGGUGGUGACCACUGUGCCGCAGCGACCCGGCUACAGUAGAUGGCGAGCGGCGCGCGUCGCGUGCCGGCGUACUCCUUCCGUCCUUUCUAUGUGUCGCUUGGGAAGCGUACGUCCGUGGGCUGUGGGCACGCCGGUGCACGCGCGAUCGAUGGAGGGGACGCUACGUCGUCUGGGCCGUACGGCAGUCACCCCCCGUCGUCGUCAGAUGCAAGGAAACGCGCUGGGUUACUACUCCGGGGCCGGCCGGCGGCCUCGCGGGUGUCCUUCCUGACGACGGCAGCAAGCAGAUUGCGCAGGUGCUGCGACGCUGCGGGCAGGGCAUCUGCCGGGCCGCGAGCUGAGGAGCAUGCAGCAGCGACCACCAGCGGCAACAGCGCGCUGCCAAUGGCUGGCCCGGGCUGGUUCGAUCGGUCAGGCCGUCUCAGCUACAUGCGCCGGGCGAGAUGCCGUCAAGCUCUCAUCGCUCUGCGCGUGUUGGGUGUGUGUGCAUGCAGGGGGCCGAUGGAGGUGCAUCUGUGCUGAUCAUGCAUAUGAUCGGAGCACCGUUUGGACUUUGGAUGUGCUGCCAACGUGGACACAGCAGUAGUAGUACAGUACAUUAGUACAUACAUCCCAUGGUCCAUGGACACGCGAGCAGGAGAUAUCUCAAGGCACGUGUACUAUUGUACGCUGAGGGGGAGAAGAGGCUGAGGGGCUGAGUGCUGAGCCUGGAGAGGUAGGUCUAGGUGCUCUAGCUAUUUAUGCUAGUGCUACCUACGAGCAGAGCAGAGAAGCUAGGCAUGGUUAGCUAAGCUUCCCUCGGCCGGGUUUGGGAGGCGCCGCCCCAUGAUGUACCACUGCACCAGCCAGGGCCCAGGCGCGCGGGAGAGGUAGUACUGUAGUGGAACCGUAGGACGGCCAUGCGGCCUCCCGGAGGGACGACGACGCUGCUGCUCCACGAACCGCGGCGUGCACGCCGACUCUCCGCGUUGGACGAGGGUUGUGAGGGCACGCACGCCGGGAUAGACAGGGGCUAGCGAUCGGAGGAGCAGGACCGGUGGCCGGUGGUAGCUGCGGCGGUGCGGGUGGGGCCCGCGCGGAUAGCGAUGGUGCGAGCAGGCGCACCGCGACGACCACGACCGGCCCUGCCGCGACUGCGGCUGCAUUGUCAGCCGAGUUUUCGUGCCACGUCCAGAUAUUUACAAGGAGAGAAGGAAGAUCCUAUGUGUUAGAAGAGUUUCGUUCCCAUGGCACACAGGGAUUGUUAUCUACUCUCUCCGUUCUAAAUUGUAGGUCAUUUCAACUUUCUUAGAGAACCAAAUCAUUUCAACUUUCUUAGAGGAUUACAAAGAUUUACGGUAUGUACUAUGAAGAUAUUAUUAGCACUUUAUUGUAUAAA